rnacentral:rRNA from 1 species
UCCAGACUCCUACGGGAGGCAGCAGUGGGGAAUAUUGCACAAUGGGGGGAACCCUGAUGCAGCGAUGCCGCGUGGAGGAAGAAGGUUUUCGGAUUGUAAACUCCUUUUAUCAGGGACGAUAAUGACGGUACCUGAAGAAAAAGCUCCGGCUAACUACGUGCCAGCAGCCGCGGUAAUACGGAGGAUGCGAGCGUUAUCCGGAUUUAUUGGGUUUAAAGGGUGCGUAGGCGGAUUUUUAAGUCAGCGGUAAAAUGUCCGGGCUCAACCCGGGCCGGCCGUUGAAACUGGGGAUCUUGAGUGGGCGAGAAGUAUGCGGAAUGCGUGGUGUAGCGGUGAAAUGCAUAGAUAUCACGCAGAACUCCGAUUGCGAAGGCAGCAUACCGGCGCCCGACUGACGCUGAGGCACGAAAGCGUGGGGAUCGAACAGGAUUAGAUACCCGUGUAUU